rnacentral:sRNA from 1 species
AAUAGAACAAGAAUUGAGAGGUCAUUGCCUGGGGGAGUUUCCUAGACCCCGAGAAGGGAAAAUGGCACAGACUGAGUCAAAUUCAGCUCCUAGGACUUGGAUAAAAUUUAUAUUGAAGUCACUGCUUUGAAUCAGUGAGCAGUACUGAUGUCAAGUUUGCCUAUUAGGUAGAAAUUCAAGAAUGAAAUGAUGAUGACCCUUUUGGGAACAACUCUGUGCAUCCUUUGUAUCCUGAGAGCACUUAUCAAAACUAGUAGAUGAAUAAUAAAUCUUUCAAAAAAAAAAAAAAAGAAAACUGGUGGACAAAGUGGUGAAAAUAUAGCAUUUAUCUCUUAUUGCCAAUGCCUAGCACAUACUAACUCAAUUCAUAUUUGCAUGAAUUUAUGAAAGCAAGGAUGAAAAAGUAUGUACUAAGAUAUAAAAUUAGCAAUAUUAUUUUUAAAAGGUUGUUAGAAGUCAAGGCCUUUUGGGCCAGGCUGUUGGGCUGUUUCUUAAGGAUAUGAUAUUUUAUUUAUUUUAAUAUAUUCAGAAACUCCUAGUGGUAUUAAAAGCUCUGAGAUUGGCAGGAUUUGGCCUUUCAGUGAAUGUUGACUCCACUUUCUUUCUCUAGAAUUUAUUAUAUCAUUUUUUAUGACAGUCUUAAUAAAGACGAUUGAAAGACUC